rnacentral:rRNA from 1 species
UACAGAGGAGCCAAGCGUUGUCCGGAUUGACUGGGCGUAAAGCGCACGCAGGCGGAUGCGCGCGUGGGGUGUGAAAUCUGGCCGCUUAACGGCCAGGCGCCAUCCCAUACGGCGUGUCUGGAGGGCUGCAGAGGUCGAUGGAAUUGCCGGUGUAGUGGUGAAAUGCGUAGAGAUCGGCAGGAACACCCAGGGGGAAACCAGUCGACUGG